rfam:Schistosoma mattheei strain Denwood, Zambia genome assembly, scaffold: SMTD_scaffold0004094
AUCCAGAUGAUGAGUACCGAACAGGACGAAACGCGCGUUCUGGGU